rnacentral:rRNA from 1 species
AUUGAACGCUGGCGGCGUGACUUAACACAUGCAAGUCGUGCGGUAACAGGCGUAGCAAUACGUGCUGACGAGCGGCGAACGGGUGCGUAAUACAUGGGAAUCUGCCCUUUAGUGGGGAAUAACCCGGCGAAAGCCGGGCUAAUGCCGCAUAAGAUCUUCGGAUGAAAGCGGGGAUCGUAAGACCUCGCGCUGGUGGAUGAGCCCAUGUCGGAUUAGCUUAGNGGUGAGGUAACGGCUCACCCAAGGCGACGAUCCGUAGCUGGUCUGAGAGGACGGCCAGCCACACUGGGACUGAGACACGGCCCAGACUCCUACGGGAGGCAGCAGU